CCAGUUGAUCGGGUGGCCGCGCUUUAGUGGUAUGUCAAAUGCUGGUGAGGUGAGGAAAGUCCGGGCUCCACAAAAACACGAUGCCGGAUAACGUCCGGCGAAGGAAACUUUAGGGAAAGUGCCACAGAAAACAAACCGCCUUUGUGCAAAUAAAGGUAAGGGUGAAAUGGUGGAGUAAGAGCCCACCGCGUUCCUGGUAACAGGGAUGGCAGGGUAAACCCCGUCGGGAGCAAGAUCAAAUAGGGGUGAUGUGGAGCAGUAAAAUGCUCCAGAAAUGUUUUUGAUUCAAUCAUCCGGGUAGGUCGCAUGAGGUGACGUGUAAACGUCAUCCUAGAUGAAUGGUCACCACGUCCUAGUUUAUAGGACCAUACAGAACCCGGCUUAUAGAUCAACUGGAAAU
rnacentral:RNase_P_RNA from 1 species